AAGUCGUAACAAGGUCUCCGUAGGUGAACCUGCGGAGGGAUCAUUAACAAAUAAUUUCAUUUUAUUAAUUUGCUUUUUCUCCUAACAAAGAAAAAACAAAAUUAUAAAAUCAAAUAAAACACAUCGUGAACUAUAUGACUGACUGGAAUGAAAAAAUUAAUUUUUUCGUUUCGGCUUUUUUUAUAAUUUAAUUAACGAAUUUCACUUAAUUUAUUUUCUUUUUUUAACUAAGAAGGAAAAACAAAUUAAUUUUCAAAAAAAUUAAAAAAAACAAGAAUUUCUUAUUUUUUUUGAGUUUGGCGAUUUUUAAUUUCUUUUUUUUUUACUUUUGGAAAAAAAUUCAUUUUUUUUCAAAUAAAAAUCAAAAAAUUUAAAAGCACAACUCUUAGCAACGGAUAUCUUGGUUCUC
rnacentral:misc_RNA from 1 species